GGCGGACAUCAGACACAAAUAGGGCCCAAGAUCGAUUUUCUUAGGGAGGGGGAGGGAGGAUUUUGGCGAAGGGAGGUGGGAGCCCACCUCAACCCAACGAUUGGAAAGAAAUCAAGUUAGGGAGUUGGGGGGGGGUAAUCGAGGUCUCUUGGAGGAGGCAAGAGCAUCUUCUUAUUAUUUAAAAAAAAUUUUUUCCCCAGGAGGAGCUCUCAGCAAAUGAGUAUUGAGGCGCCUCUCUAGCUGGUUAAGUUUGGGACGCGAUAACUCAGCGCCCACUUGCAGACAUGCAUAGUAGUUACUGGGUUAUCGCGGAGGGGAAAUGAGACAGAGACGUUAGGGCGAACGGAGAGUAGUCCGCAGGGUUUUCUUACUGAGAAAAAGUCCUUUCUGCUAAUCCUCUUUUAACUAGGUCGGGGGAUACGCGGGUCCCAGCCUGGCCCGGCAGGGGCGGGGACGGGGUGCAAGUCGGUGGUGAAGGAAGGGGGGUUGGGGGGAGAAGGGUGAUUCCUGCAGAGAAAAAUUACAGCGCUGGGUCCUGCAGAAGGACCAAGCGCUCUGUUUUGUUUUGUAAAAGCUAUCAUUAUUACUAUUAUCAUUAUCAUUAUCAUCAUCGCCAUCAUCAAUGCGCGUAACUUCUAAACAGCCCCGUGGUGGAUGCGUACAAGCUUUUGCGCGCAGCUGGAAACGCACUAGGUUCAGUUGCGAACCGUACUGCGUCGACGCCCCGGGCGACGCCGAGAGAGGAGCUAGGCCUACCCAGCACGGAGCCAGCGAGCUUCGGGCCUCCCGGAAGGGCACGUUGAUGCUGUUUCCUGUGCUUUGGAAAUAUUCCUCCCCACUCCCCCAAGUUUGGCGGACGAGAUGCCCCCAUGACCACCAGCACCCCAGUCAGGUUAAUGAAAUAAGAAAUGGAUGUGGGAACAUCAUUCGGCCGAGGCGGAUAUCAGCGCUGGAGAUUUGCAAGCCCCCAUAGAACAGAGAAGGCAGUACCACGCUUGGGAUGCAAAGGAGCCCCUGUUCUUGCUUCCGCCAAUUUGGAAAGUCCCCAGUGGAGGAGAAAGCUCAGGGCCUGGCCGUGCGCCGCUGUGGGUCUCCUCUGGCCUCCUGGUGCUGGGUUUCUGGCCUUUGGGGGCAGCCCCCACAGACGGUCCGGAAGCAGGGACCCCCAAACGCCCUGUUCCCCCACUACAAUCACAGAAAAUGCUGGGGUGAAACUGACAGAGGCUGGCCAGCCGUGGGGAGCAACUGACAGAGAGGUUCAUGGUGGAAAAGUUCCUCGCAAUUGUUUCCGAAAGGGCCCUGGGUUUCCUGGUCACCAUGGCAACCCUGGAGUCCCCUCGAAUGCUCCCAACAACCGGGUGCCCGGAGGCCAUUCGGGCACUUUGGCUUCGGGCUCAGAGGCCUGCAAGGCGCUUCCUUCCAUCCUUCGCUCUUGGCUUUCCCGAGCCUCCUCAUUGGAUUCAACACGACAAGGAUUGAAAAACUUCCCUCUUUUUUUUUUUUAAACAGAGGAGAAAAUCAAGAUACAGUCGAAUUUUUGCCAGGUAAAUUCAGGUCUCCAGCAAAAGCCUGCAUUUUGAGUUGAAAGAAGACACCGCGAAUGCAGCAGGCGGGGUACCUUCAUCAUCCAAGCCCGCACCCGGAGCAUCUCAGCCGCAGACCUGGGACUUGAGGAAUCGUGGAGUCUCUUCAUAUAUACUGCCCACCCCCACCGGCACCCAGGCUCCCCGCACCGUCCAAACAAACCUUUCUCCUGCCUGGAAUAGCGUCUCCUAAAUGGGAGCAGAAAAGUCCGGGGACUAAAAAUUGCGGCAUUAAUGUCUGCAAGGUCUUACUGAGAGAAAGAAUAAAUUAUACUCCUUUUCCUUUAAGAGAGAAAAAUGUUCAGUUGUGGAUGUAUUAUAAAGAGCAUUAAAAUAAUGUUUCACGGUU